CUACACUUACUGGAGAUCCCUGUAUCGGAGAAGGCUUGACCCCGCAGUUAUCCCAGAGUUCACCCCUGUGCGUUCCGGUGUCCCGGGUCUGCUAGAUCACUGAUGACAGGAGGGACUGUGCCCUGAAGCAAGUAACCGAUCCAGAAGGGAACUCCUCACUCCACCAUAAUAGAUACACUGAGAUCUUAAUAUUAAUAGACAUUUGACUAUCCACCAAGCACCUGUUGAAUUAUGUUUUCGUUUCUCCUAUGAUUUAAG